CAGUAUCUUCCACAGUUUUGCUUCUCGUGGUAUUUUACCCUGAUGGUCAGCGUGCCGGUGGAUCUGGAGUCAGUGAUUCUGAGGACUAAAUCAGCUCUUCUUCAGAACGUGCCGCAGGGUUGUGUGAGCUCCAGCAGACAGUGUGGCGCCACACCAGUGAACGAAACCACAGUGUGUGGGAGCACCAACAGCUCUGUUGUGUCGGCGUAUCUCGGCUCGUCUCAUGAUGGCGGUCGGCUCUGUGAAUUCAGCAUCACACAGUACGCUUGUGCACAGUUGACAGAUCUGAGCUCACAGGACCUGGCGACGGUGUUGUCAUGCGGACUCGACGGGAAUGACAACGUGUCCGAGGAGACGUGGAAGCUCUUCACGCAGAAGGUCAACCCUGUGCUGGGUCCAGCGCUUGACCUGCUCGCAGACACGAGGCUGAAUAAGUCCCGCCCCGCAGUCUUAUUCUUGAAUGUGAUUGGAGAAGUCACUCUGAGCUCUUUCAGCUCCACCAAUCUGAGAGAUGAUUCGUUCGUCCAGCGCUGGUUUGACUCCAGGCUCCGCCCAUUUUUACCCCACGCCUCUGAGACGUUCCUGUCCUGUCUGUCCACCAGAGACUUCAGCUGUGACACAUACAGGAGUGUUGUCAGGAGCUUCAGUCAGAGUUUUGAUGUAAUGUCCACCGAUACACAGGCUAACGUCUACGUUGACUUCAUCAAAGUCUUCCUCUCUCAGAACAGUACUGCAGGGUGUGUGAACGUCUCUCAGAGCAGCUCUGAUUGGCUGAUCAGCAGCUUUGGACGUUUCUCUGUUUUCACCACAGUCACUGACCUGCAGACACUCAACUCCAACUUCAGUGUGCUGGACACUCUGAGUCUGUUGAGCCUGAGGCAGUUAGUGGAGCUGUCCAGCACUCCUGGAUUCCUGUCCAGCGCCGCUGCGGUCGAUAAUCUACUGCUCUACGUGCCGGACGCUCAGAUCACUGCGUUCUUCUCAUCCCUCUCUUUUACACUACAGGUGACACAUACACAUACCUAACACAUACUAUUCAUCAACAGGGAAACUCUCAGAUG
ensembl:lncRNA